GUGACUGGUCAUGAUAAUGGUUGUUUUGCUUAGUAAUGUAAUACAAUCUCAGCUAGUCACAUAGAGUAAAACAGGUGGUGUGUGCCGACAGCAUCCAGCAAGGGUAGUGGAUGUAUGUGCGAUUGCUCCAUACAUU